CACACUGGAAACUGCACAGCCCUAUUUGCACCAAGAGGAACAUUGACUCUCCAUCGCUCCUCUCUUUUGGACGCCAGUUACAUGAAUGGGAGAUAUUUUUACUUUAUCCCACAGAUCUUGAACAUGCGGUUUUGCCUUCUGGCAUGUCUAUGAAAGAAAGGAGACUCCAGAUGAUGUUUUCUUCCUUCAGGACUGGGAGGGGGUUACUCUUUCUUCUGCUGGAAGAGGAGAGAAAAAUGACAUGUGGGAAGGAAUAAAGAGCAGCAAAAAGGAAGAAGGCAACCAACAGUAACAAUAACUAGCAUGCACGAGACACUCAAGCAGUGCUUCUGGACAGUUCAUCAUUUCCUUAGAAAGCAUUUGACUACAGCAGGAUUUGAAAGAGGAUCAGAAGCUCCAUCUUCCUUUAGAAUGCUACUACUCUCCUGUCCACAGCACGGUCUAUCCAACCACAGCAAAAAGCCCAGAUGACAAACCGAA
rnacentral:lncRNA from 1 species